GCCUGGGUGGCUCAGUUGGUUGAGCAACAGACUUUGGCUCAGGUCAUGAUCUCACGGUUUGUGGGUUCGAGCCCCACAUCGGGUU
rnacentral:tRNA from 1 species